rnacentral:rRNA from 1 species
ACUACGGGUGGCAGCAGUGAGGAAUAUUGGUCAAUGGACGAGAGUCUGAACCAGCCAAGUAGCGUGAAGGAUGACUGCCCUAUGGGUUGUAAACUUCUUUUAUAAAGGAAUAAAACGAGGCACGUGUGCCUUUUUGCAUGUACUUUAUGAAUAAGGAUCGGCUAACUCCGUGCCAGCAGCCGCGGUAAUACGGAGGUUCCGAGCGUUAUCCGGAUUUAUUGGGUUUAAAGGGAGCGUAGAUGGGUUGUUAUGUCAGUUGGUAAAGUUUUCGGCUCAACCGUAAAAUUGCAAUUGAUACUGGCAGUCUUGAGUACAGUUGAGGUAAGCGGAAUUCGUGGUGUAGCGGUGAAAUGCUUAGAUAUCACGAAGAACCCCGAUUGCGAAGGCAGCUUACUAAACUGUGACUGACAUUGAUGCUCGAAAGUGUGGGUAUCAAACAGGAUUAGAUACCCUUGUAGUC